rnacentral:tRNA from 1 species
AGAGCUCCGCUCUUGCAAUUGGGUCGUUGGCGGAUGUCAGCGGUUCGAGUCCGCUUAUCUCCA